rnacentral:rRNA from 1 species
AACGAACGCUGGCGGCAGGCUUAACACAUGCAAGUCGAACGGGCGUAGCAAUACGUCAGUGGCAGACGGGUGAGUAACACGUGGGAAUAUCCCUCUCAGUCCGGAAUAACUCAGGGCGACUUGAGCUAAUACCGGAUACGUCCUUCGGGAGAAAGAUUUAUCGCUGAGAGAUUAGCCCGCGUCUGAUUAGCUAGUUGGUGAGGUAAUGGCUCACCAAGGCGACGAUCAGUAGCUGGUCUGAGAGGAUGAUCAGCCACACUGGGACUGAGACACGGCCCAGACUCCUACGGGAGGCAGCAGUGGGGAAUAUUGGACAAGGGGGGCAACCCUGAUCCAGCCAUGCCGCGUGAGUGAUGAAGGCCUUAGGGUUGUAAAGCUCCUUCGCCAGGGAAGAUAAUGACUGUACCUGGAGAAUAAGCCCCGGCUAACUUCGUGCCAGCCGCCGCGGUAA